UGAGCAGCAUUGCUGAAAUUAAGGGAAGGAAAGAUUUAAAAAGGAAGGAUAUUACCACAAGCAUUUUUUAGGCUUUCAGCCUUUGGUCUAUGGAAUAGUUUGGCUUUUACUGCUCAGCUUUACAAAACACUUCAAAAAGUAUUGAUGUAGCAGAGGGAGGAAUAUGAGUAAUCGAGCAAUAUAGACUCUUACAGCUCACAUUUGUAUGACUCAUAGUAUUCAGGCUAUGAAAAGUAGGACAAGAUUAAAUGCAAGGAAUAAUGCAAACAUUUGUGUCAGUUUAUUUUUUCUAUCAAUAACUUUAAAUGAAAAAAUAUUUCCUUGUUCUCUUCUAUAUUUCAAGAAGGAAAAGUAAUUCACAGCUCCACCUUCACUGCUCUGCUCAGCGAAGACCAAGGACAAAUGGCAGGAAAACCUGGAGUGUUCUGCUGCAGGUCGGGAGCAGCCGCUAGGAGGGGCUGACUGCCUUGAAGAGAAGGUACAACCAAGCAUUGUCCAGGUGUGAAGACAAUGUCCCACAUAAGAAGGAUGUGGAACUGAUGAAGUGAGCCCACAGGAGGGCCUUGAAGCUGAUGAAGAGAAUGAUAUGAUACCUGCCAGUGCCUGAAGAGGGUCUAUGAGAAAGCUGGAGAGAUCAGAGUUCCAAUAUGUCCAUGCUCUUGAAAGGGAAGCACCUUAUACACAGCUCAUUUAUCAAGGCAAAAGUGUUUAACUAUGACCCUAAGCACAUGCUGCUGCUUGUUAGUUUAACUGAAGCUACACAAACAUGAUAAAAGGUAACUGACCUUUAUU